UACUGAGGUCGUCAAGCGUUGUUCGGAUUCAUUGGGCGUAAAGGGCGCGUAGGCGGCGCAACAAGUCACUUGUGAAAUCUCCGGGCUUAACCCGGAGCGGCCAAGUGAUACUGUCGUGCUAGAGUGCGGAAGGGGCUACUGGAAUUCUCGGUGUAGCGGUGAAAUGCGUAGAUAUCGAGAGGAACACCUGCGGCGAAGGCGGGUAGCUGGGCCGGACACUGACGCUGAGGCGCGAAAGCCAGGGGAGCGAACGGG
rnacentral:rRNA from 1 species